UACAACACUUAGGCUGUAGAAAGUUUCAGAGACAGCUGAAUCAAUAUUCAGAGCAUCAGUUUUUCUUCAUUGUAGGCUACUAUAUCAAAAGCAACUUUAACUUUUGUUUGCCUUUCUAAUAUCGUAUUUUCACUUUCACAACAUCCACUUCCCAAUCUGCUAAACUAGGGUAUUAAGUCAUAGCCCUAGUCUACGUGCAGUAAAUAGUUUGAGUAUUUUAUUUAAGUGGAGUAGAACUACUAGGCCUACUCUAUGUCACUACUGUUGACAUCUUAUUAUCAUGUAUGAUCGCUAAACUUUGAUUCUUUUUAAUGUCGCAAUCGGUUAACUCCAUUCUACUGUGCUUGUGGUUCAGC